GUGUCAGCAGCCGCGGUAAUACGUAGGGGCCUAGCGUUGUCCGGAUUUAUUGGGCGUAAAGAGCUCGUAGGCGGCUUGGUAAGUCAGGUGUGAAAUCUCCACGCUCAACGUGGAGGGGCCACCCGAAACUGCCAUGGCUUGAGUCCGGUAGGGGAGUGUGGAAUUCCCGGUGUAGCGGUGAAAUGCGCAGAUAUCGGGAGGAACACCCGUAGCGAAGGCGGCACUCUGGGCCGGUACUGACGCUGAGGAGCGAAAGCGUGGGGAGCAAACAGGAUUAGAUACCCUUGUAGUCC
rnacentral:rRNA from 1 species